CCCUUAGAUGUUCUGGGCCGCACGCGUGCUACACUGACCGGCGCAACAAGCUUUUUUCCUUGGCUCGACAGGCCUGGGUAAUCUUCGAACGCCGGUCGUGAUGGGGAUAGAUCCUUGCAAUUUUUGAUCUUCAACGAGGAAUUCCUAGUAAACGCAAGUCAUCAACUUGCAUUGAUUACGUCCCUGCCCUUUGUACACACCGCCCGUCGCACCUACCGAUUGAAUGGUCCGGUGAAGCCUCCGGAUUGGCGCGCACCUCGGUGCCGCCGAGAAGUUGGCUAAACCUUACCAUUUAGAGGAAGGUGAAGUCGUAACA
rnacentral:rRNA from 1 species